rnacentral:rRNA from 1 species
UCGCUUUUAGCUUCAAUCCACAUAACAGACACUUCGUGUCGACUUUGUGCGCAUUUUCGCUAUUAUGUGUUCUUUUAAUUAAAAUGAUUCUUUUUAAAUCUCUAAUAUUUGCUUCGGCAUUUUUGGAGAUUUGUUACUUUGAGUAAAUUAGAGUGUUCAAAGCAAACAGAUAUAGCAUUUGUGCGUUUGAAUACUACAGCAUGGAAUAACAAAAUUGAACAAGUCAAAAUUUUUGUUCUUUUUUCUUAUUUUGGCUUAGUUACGAUUAAUAGGAGUAGCUUGGGGGCAUUUGUAUUCAGAUGUCAGAGGUGAAAUUCUUAGAUUUUCUGGAGACAAACAACUGCGAAAGCAUUUGCCUAAAAUACUUCCAUUAAUCAAGAACGAAAGUUAAGGGAGUGAAAACGAUCAGAUACCGUCGUAAUCUUAACCAUAAACUAUGCCGACUAGGCUUUGGAUGAAAGAUUUUAAAAUAAGAG